UACGUAAGUGGCGAGCGUUAUCCGGAAUUACUGGGCGUAAAGCGUGCGUAGGCGGUUUAGUGUGUGGGAUUUGAAAAGCCCGGGGCUCAACUCCGGAUCCGGAUCCCAAACUGCUAGACUCGAGAGUAUCAGAGGAGAGCGGAAUUCCUGGUGUAGCGGUGAAAUGCGCAGAUAAUCAGGAAGAACACCAAUGCGAAAGGCAGCUCUCUGGGACGGUACUGACGCUGAGACGCGAAAGCGUGGGGAGCGAACAGGGAUU
rnacentral:rRNA from 1 species